UCUCCAAAUAGUAUGACUUUCCAUAAUCACCCGUGGCGAACUCGAAAAUAUACACUUCAAUUUCUUUAUAAAGUUUAAUCACAAAUUCAAUGUUUGAGCAAACAAAGUCGGGGGAUUGCAUGCUAAUUUCCUCUUCUUUGAAUGCUACUAACUCUUUUUGGUCCGUUAUGAUUAACCUUUCGGUCUUUUCAUGCUCCUCUUCUUUAAUUGAAAUUUUUUCGAGUUCGACGUCCGUAUCUGAAACUUGUGGAGAGAAAUAAUGUCAUUUUCAUGGAAAGUCUUCUCCUAUUGUGGUAUUUGUUGGACGUCUAGUGGAUGUGAUUUCCUUAAUUGAUGUCCAUUAAUAACCGGUGGAAGAUAUAAUCCCCUAGGCAUAUCACCCACGUUAAAUUUUGGCAAGAGAAAUAAUGCAGCAGGCAAGUCACCCAAGACAGCUUCAUUUAGUUCACAUUUCGCUUUUAUAUCUUGUAGUGGCUAUCCAAUAAUGAAAUCUCCUAUAAGCAUAUCGCUCUCAUCAAUUUCUUAAUUUGCCAAUUGCUGUUCUCUUAUGAUGAAGUCACGUAUAUGUAUUUUACUGAAAUCAACUACAACCAUUUGUUACUCUGCUAUUUUUGGUCUUUUUAUUUCUUGAAAAAGAUAAAAAAAACAAAAACAAAUUGAAAUGGAACCCAAAAAAAUAAAAAAUAAAAAAAAUACAAGAAUACAAGUAGAAGUUCGAAUUAGUGCCAAGAUAAAUGAAAUCAAACUAAAAUUCAAUCCCCGGCAACGACGUCAAAAACUUGUUUACGAAAUUAUGAUUUCGAUUUGUUUCUG
rnacentral:lncRNA from 1 species